AAAUUGAAGAGUUUGAUCAUGGCUCAGAUUGAACGCUGGCGGCAGGCCUAACACAUGCAAGUCGAACGGUAGCACAGAGAGCUUGCUCUCGGGUGACGAGUGGCGGACGGGUGAGUAAUGUCUGGGAAACUGCCUGAUGGAGGGGGAUAACUACUGGAAACGGUGGCUAAUACCGCAUAACGUCGCAAGACCAAAGAGGGGGACCUUCGGGCCUCUUGCCAUCAGAUGUGCCCAGAUGGGAUUAGCUUGUUGGUGAGGUAACGGCUCACCAAGGCGACGAUCCCUAGCUGGUCUGAGAGGAUGACCAGCCACACUGGAACUGAGACACGGUCCAGACUCCUACGGGAGGCAGCAGUGGGGAAUAUUGCACAAUGGGCGCAAGCCUGAUGCAGCCAUGCCGCGUGUAUGAAGAAGGCCUUCGGGUUGUAAAGUACUUUCAGCGGGGAGGAAGGUGUUGCGGUUAAUAACCGCAGCAAUUGACGUUACCCGCAGAAGAAGCACCGGCUAACUCCGUGCCAGCAGCCGCGGUAAUACGGAGGGUGCAAGCGUUAAUCGGAAUUACUGGGCGUAAAGCGCACGCAGGCGGUCUGUCAAGUCGGAUGUGAAAUCCCCGGGCUCAACCUGGGAACUGCAUUCGAAACUGGCAGGCUUGAGUCUUGUAGAGGGGGGUAGAAUUCCAGGUGUAGCGGUGAAAUGCGUAGAGAUCUGGAGGAAUACCGGUGGCGAAGGCGGCCCCCUGGACAAAGACUGACGCUCAGGUGCGAAAGCGUGGGGAGCAAACAGGAUUAGAUACCCUGGUAGUCCACGCCGUAAACGAUGUCUACUUGGAGGUUGUGCCCUUGAGGCGUGGCUUCCGGAGCUAACGCGUUAAGUAGACCGCCUGGGGAGUACGGCCGCAAGGUUAAAACUCAAAUGAAUUGACGGGGGCCCGCACAAGCGGUGGAGCAUGUGGUUUAAUUCGAUGCAACGCGAAGAACCUUACCUGGUCUUGACAUCCACAGAACUUUCCAGAGAUGGAUUGGUGCCUUCGGGAACUGUGAGACAGGUGCUGCAUGGCUGUCGUCAGCUCGUGUUGUGAAAUGUUGGGUUAAGUCCCGCAACGAGCGCAACCCUUAUCCUUUGUUGCCAGCGGUCCGGCCGGGAACUCAAAGGAGACUGCCAGUGAUAAACUGGAGGAAGGUGGGGAUGACGUCAAGUCAUCAUGGCCCUUACGACCAGGGCUACACACGUGCUACAAUGGCGCAUACAAAGAGAAGCGACCUCGCGAGAGCAAGCGGACCUCAUAAAGUGCGUCGUAGUCCGGAUUGGAGUCUGCAACUCGACUCCAUGAAGUCGGAAUCGCUAGUAAUCGUGGAUCAGAAUGCCACGGUGAAUACGUUCCCGGGCCUUGUACACACCGCCCGUCACACCAUGGGAGUGGGUUGCAAAAGAAGUAGGUAGCUUAACCUUCGGGAGGGCGCUUACCACUUUGUGAUUCAUGACUGGGGUGAAGUCGUAACAAGGUAACCGUAGGGGAACCUGCGGUUGGAUCACCUCCUUACCU
rnacentral:rRNA from 1 species